AGACGCAGAUCGAUUAUAUCUGUGGCGGAGCGCUCCAUACCAGGUGGUAAAGCCGGAUCUUAGCAGUCAGUGUCGAGUGAGCGAGGCGGUCCACUUGCAUUACGCCGAACCCCCUCGCAGAACGGCCGACGGACCCGGCUCGCCGCCCUCGUGACCCCUCCGCAAGUAUCGCCAAGCUCUGCGAUGAAGCCCUGACC